rnacentral:pre_miRNA from 1 species
UGGUGGGCUGCAGAACAUGUGCUUCCUUCGUGUCAUAUGUCUGCUGACCAUCACCU